rfam:Myotis brandtii contig159481, whole genome shotgun sequence.
GGCAGUUCUUGGGUGAUGCACCCUGGAAUCGGGCUCCCUCCUCUCCAGGGUAUGUCACCUGAGAACCACU